UACGAAGGGGGCUAGCGUUGUUCGGAAUUACUGGGCGUAAAGCGCGCGUAGGCGGUGAACUUUGUCAGAGGUGAAAUCCCGAGGCUCAACUUCGGAAUUGCCUUUGAAACGGGUUCGCUUGAGUCCGAGAGAGGAUGGCGGAAUUCCUAGUGUAGAGGUGAAAUUCGUAGAUAUUAGGAAGAACACCGGUGGCGAAGGCGGCCAUCUGGCUCGGUACUGACGCUCCGGCGCGAAAGCGUGGGGAGCAAACAGG
rnacentral:rRNA from 1 species